rnacentral:rRNA from 1 species
AACGAACGCUGGCGGCAGGCUUAACACAUGCAAGUCGAACGCCCCGCAAGGGGAGUGGCAGACGGGUGAGUAACGCGUGGGAAUCUACCCAUCCCUACGGAAUAACGCAUGGAAACGUGUGCUAAUACCGUAUACGCCCUACGGGGGAAAGAUUUAUCGGGGAUGGAUGAGCCCGCGUUGGAUUAGCUAGUUGGUGGGGUAAAGGCCUACCAAGGCGACGAUCCAUAGCUGGUCUGAGAGGAUGAUCAGCCACAUUGGGACUGAGACACGGCCCAAACUCCUACGGGAGGCAGCAGUGGGGAAUAUUGGACAAUGGGCGCAAGCCUGAUCCAGCCACGCCGCGUGAGUGAUGAAGGCCUUAGGGUUGUAAAGCUCUUUCACCGGAGAAGAUAAUGACGGUAUCCGGAGAAGAAGCCCCGGCUAACUUCGUG